GAUGAACGCUGACAGAACGCUUAACACAUGCAAGUCAACUUGAACUUCGGUUUGGGUGGCGGACGGGUGAGUAACGCGUAAAGAACUUGCCUCACAGAUAGGGACAACAUUUGGAAACGAAUGCUAAUACCUGAUAUUAUGAUUUUAGGGCAUCCUAGGAUUAUGAAAGCUAUAUGCGCUGUGAGAGAGCUUUGCGUCCCAUUAGCUAGUUGGAGAGGUAACGGCUCACCAAGGCGAUGAUGGGUAGCCGGCCUGAGAGGGUGAUCGGCCACAAGGGGACUGAGACACGGCCCUUACUCCUACGGGAGGCAGCAGUGGGGAAUAUUGGACAAUGGACCAAGAGUCUGAUCCAGCAAUUCUGUGUGCACGAUGAAGUUUUUCGGAAUGUAAAGUGCUUUCAGUUGGGAAGAAAAAAAUGACGGUACCAACAGAAGAAGUGACGGCUAAAUACGUG
rnacentral:rRNA from 1 species